rnacentral:rRNA from 1 species
AGUUUGAUCCUGGCUCAGAACGAACGCUGGCGGCAUGCCUAACACAUGCAAGUCGAACGAUGCUUUCGGGCAUAGUGGCGCACGGGUGCGUAACGCGUGGGAAUCUGCCCUUUGGUUCGGAAUAACAGUUGGAAACGACUGCUAAUACCGGAUGAUGACGUUAAGUCCAAAGAUUUAUCGCCAGAGGAUGAGCCCGCGUUGGAUUAGGUAGUUGGUGGGGUAAAGGCCUACCAAGCCGACGAUCCAUAGCUGGUCUGAGAGGAUGAUCAGCCACACUGGGACUGAGACACGGCCCAGACUCCUACGGGAGGCAGCAGUGGGGAAUAUUGGACAAUGGGCGCAAGCCUGAUCCAGCAAUGCCGCGUGAGUGAUGAAGGCCUUAGGGUUGUAAAGCUCUUUUACCCGGGAUGAUAAUGACAGUACCGGGAGAAUAAGCCCCGGCUAACUCCGUGCCAGCAGCCGCGGUAA